rnacentral:rRNA from 1 species
AUUGAACGCUGGCGGCAGGCCUAACACAUGCAAGUCGAGCGAGCGGCGGACGGGUGAGUAAUGUAUGGGGAUCUGCCCGAUAGAGGGGGAUAACUACUGGAAACGGUGGCUAAUACCGCAUAUUAUUCGAGCGGCCGAUAACUGAUUAGCUAGUUGGUGGGGUAAAGGCCUACCAAGGCGACGAUCAGUAGCGGGUCUGAGAGGACGAUCCGCAACACUGGGACUGGGACACGGCCCAGACUCCUACGGGAGGCAGCAGUGGGGAAUUUUGGACAAUGGGGGCAACCCUGAUCCAGCCAUGCCGCGUGUAUGAAGAAGGCCUUCGGGUUGUAAAGUACUUUCAGCGGGGAGGCGUUACCCGCAGAAGAAGCACCGGCUAACUCCGUGCCAGCCGCCGCGGUAAUUC